rnacentral:rRNA from 1 species
CCUACGGGUGACAGCAGUGGGGAAUAUUGCACAAUGGGGGAAACCCUGAUGCAGCGACGCCGCGUGAGUGAAGAAGUAUUUCGGUACGUAAAGCUCUAUCAGCAGGGAAGAAAAUGACGGUACCUGACUAAGAAGCCCCGGCUAACUACGUGCCAGCAGCCGCGGUAAUACGUCGGGGGCAAGCGUUAUCCGGAUUUACUGGGUGUAAAGGGAGCGUAGACGGCAGCGCAAGUUUGGAGUGAAAUCCCAUGGCUUAAACAUGGAACUGCUUUGGAAACUGUGCAGCUAGAGUGCAGGAGAGGUAAGCGGAAUUCCUAGUGUAGCGGUGAAAUGCGUAGAUAUUAGGAGGAACACCAGUGGCGAAGGCGGCUUACUGGACUGUAACUGACGUUGAGGCUCGAAAGCGUGGGGAGCAAACAGGAUUAGAUACCCGGGUAGUC